rnacentral:snRNA from 1 species
GUGCUCACUUUGGCAGCACGUGUACUAAAAUUGGAACGAUACAGAGGAGAUUAGCCUGACCCCUGCGCAAGGAUGACACGCAAAUUCAUGAAGUGUUCCAUAUUUUU